AGCCCUCAAAUCCUAUGUCCGCCUUUUGGUGGCACAUUGAGGUUUGGAUUUGGACUCUGCCGGUUUCGGUCGGCUGGUCUGGAAUGCAUUAGCUGGCUGCUGAGGUUGGCGACCCGGUGUGAUAAGAUCACUCGCUGGGGAGGCACCUUGUACGGUAGCUGCUGCGAACCGUCCCUCGUCGGACAAUUUUCAAGU
rnacentral:misc_RNA from 1 species